rnacentral:tRNA from 1 species
GGCGGCAUAGCUCAGUCGGUUAGAGCGAAGGCUUCAUAAGCCUUAGGUCACUGGUUCGAGUCCAGUUGCCGCUA